rnacentral:rRNA from 1 species
GUCUACGGCCAUAUCACCCUGGAAACGCCCUAUCUCAUCUGAUCUCAGAAGCUAAGCAGGGUGGGGCCUGGUUAGUACUUGGAUGGGAGAAUCAAGUGUCAUGGUGU